AAGAUUUAGGUCCUGGUCUUAUUAUCAGCCCAUACUUAAUUUACACAUGCAAGUCUCAGCGACCCAGUGAAAACACCCUCAGACCUAGCAGAGGAAGAGGAGUAGGUAUCAGGCACAGACCUCUAGCCCAUAACACCUAGCUUCGCCACACCCCCAAGGGUAUAACAGCAGUGAUAAAUAUUGAUAAUAAGCGACAGCUUGACUCAGUUAAAGUAUUCAAAGCCGGCCAACACGAGUGCCAGCCGCCGCGGCUAAACCGCCCCGGGCUUAAGUUGAUAAAUACCGGCGUUAAACGUGUUUUAAGUUCAUAAAAUUUAGAGCUAAACCCCAGCCCUACUGUACAACGUAUGCCACCGGGAAACACAAAACGAAAGUUACUCUAAUUCUCCCUUGAACCCACGAUAGUUAAGAAACAAACUGGGAUUAGAUACCCCGCUAUGCUUAACCAUAAAUUAUUAUUUACACCCUUAUCGCC
rnacentral:misc_RNA from 1 species